rnacentral:misc_RNA from 1 species
AGCAAAAAAAAAAAAAAAAGAAAGUAAGAAGAAGAAGAAGUAGAAACGGCAAAGGGAAGAAUGGGUUAGGACUUUGGGUAUCUCUGUCUCUGAGGGAAGAAGAAACGACAAAGGGAAGGAAUAAAUAGAGCCGGUGAAAGGAAGGAAUGAAGAAAUUGAGUCUGGCUGUCUCAUUACUCUCAUAUGGCUGACUUGAAAUAGAGACUGAGAGAAUUAUGGGAGAAGAGAAGGGUGGCG